UUUUUAUUGCAAGCGACGCAUCACCAAUUAUUUCUAGAUUCGCAUUUAGUUGACUUUAUUUUCUAUUAUUAAUACAAAUUAUACAAUAAUUCUACUCUACUUACUAAUAAAAGACACGUCAGAUGUCACGUAACAUUAUUAGAGGGAAAAAUGCUUGGUGAAGAGAAACACGAGAGAAAAACGAGAGAAAUAAAGAAUAAAAUGGUAGAGAGAAAGUGAGUGGGUAGAGAGAGAGAGGACAAAAUUCUCUCUUCUUUCUCUCGUGCUUCUCUACACCUACCACUGCUCUUACUAGAGAUACAAACUACGGAGAGACAUAGCCUUACUUAUCAUAGGCCGUAGAGAAAGACAAGUGUUACCUUUAAAACGUCACCAACGUUGACUAUUAAGGCAUCAGGAAGGGGUUUAACAGCAAACCAUUUUCCAUCUUUCUUAAUUUGGAGACCAUCCAUCUCAUUGAUUUGGAGGAGGAUGGUGAGUAUGGAGCCAUCAGAAUGAGGCUUAAAGCCGAGAACUUACUCUGGUUGCGGACAAGGAGGAUAAUAAUUCAUCCUUAAUGAUUGCAUCCCGUUUUCAAACAGCUCUUUCAUGUCAUUGGGAUCCAUUCUUAGAGCUUUAGCCAUUAGGUCAAGGAUUUUCAAGGUAAGAUUUUUAAGUUCCGUUAAGUAAACUUCCAAGUCAUCUCCGCAUGCAAAUAAUAAUAUAUAGUCCAGUAAUUAUCAUAAGAUAGAAUAUACUAUAUAAGAAAAGUCUAAAAUUUAAGUAUAGAACCUGAAUGGAAGAGGCAACUUGGGGAACAAGUGGGGUUUCCUCAGAUGGGUUGGGAGAGUGAACAUAGUAAAGCCGUAUCCCCAAUCAAGCUUCUGCUCUUCAGACGUAAUAAAAAGCUGCCCAAAUCCCUCAACAUCUCCUGGCUGCUGCCAAAACUUCUUUUUCUCAUCAAUUGGAAGAUUAAAGAAUUCUUGAAUCUCUGCUUUCACUUUCUCCACCAAUGAACUGCUCACUCCAUGAUUCAUCAACCGCAUAUAUGCAAAUUAAAGCAAGAUGUUCUUUCCAUAUAUACAUGGUUCAUAAAGGAAAUUUUGAAGUUCUGGAAACAAAAUGAUUUUUAUGGAAAAUGCUAAAGAAACGGAGAGCUGAUAAAAUGCUGACAAAAACAACGAUAAAUUAGUCUGUUUAAUGGGUUUACAAUCAAGUGACUAAUCCGGUACUGAUUUACUUUGUUUUUUGUAAACGUUUUGUCUAAUUUUUAUUAUCUGAAUAUCACUGCUAAAUUGUUAUGUACCUGAAAGAAACCCCAGUCUUUACAUGCAUGGUUCAUAUAGGGAACUUAAAGCUCAGGAAGUAAAAUUAUUUUUAUGGAAAAUGUAAAAACACUGAGACCUGAAAAAACGCUAACAAAAGCAAUGAUUUGCAAUCAAUUAAGUAUUUUUAUUAUAUGAAUAUCACUGCUCAAUUAUUAUGUACCUGAAAGAAACCCCACUCUUUACAUGCAUGGUCAAGCUUCUCAAGCUCUGAGUCAUCCCCAGAGAGCAACGUGUGCAUGUCAAUGACUGGAAGUUGUUGUGCUGAAGAAUCGUCGUUGCGAAUCAAGGGAUGGUCUAUCUCAGGGAGAACAUAACGUGGCGGAACAGUUGUCAGUGGCAGAUUAUUUGCCAGCUCCAGAAUCGAAGGCUCCACGAGAGAAUUCCCAAUAACUGUUGCUUUUGCCUCCAUGUUAUAUAGAUUUAGAUUAACUGAUUUCUAGCUAUUACCUUUUUGUUUUCUUCUACUCUUCUGCAGACUUAGCUAGUAUGUGUUUUGACAAGAAACUCAUAUAUAAAUAGUCCUCUAGAUGUACUGUACUGUAACUGGGUGCAGUGAAAUAUUAAUUUUAUCAUGAAAAUUCGAGAGAAUUUUGACUUUUAUUAAAGGACACAAAUCAGUGCAACAUUAACACGAUAAAAUUAAUUUUAUAAUGGAAUUAUUUACACUCUACAUUUAAUUUUGAAUAUCAUUUGAUUUUUUACACUCUAAAUUUAAUUUUGAAUAUCAUUUGAUUUUUUACACUCAGUUAAUAAAUUUUAAAAAUUAAUUUUUAUUCUAUACGUUCUUUUAUAUACCAAAACAGUCUUUUAUUUAUAUAUGAUUAUUAUCUCACCCAAUUUAAUUCUUUAUCAAAGAACUUCAUUCUAAAUAAGUCUAUUAUUGUUAACAAGAUAUUUAAGUCUCUGUUUAACAAAAUAUCACUGUGAUGUCUUUAAAUGAAAUAAUAUAUAUAUAUAUUUUUUUUUAAAAGAGAAUUUUCUCUUAUCUUUACUAGAGAGUUAUAUAUUAGAAUCCAAUUCAUGUUCUUCAUUGAUAAUCUUCAAGCAAUAGUAAUAAGCAACUGAUUUGUUUUUCUUUUUCAUUUUUUUUAAUCGGAACUUACAGUUUUAUUUUUUAUUUUUUAAAACAAAAUAAUGUUACUCGUAAAUUUCUAUUUUUUUUUUUAUUCAGCUUCUAUAGUUGGUAGCUUGUUGGGUAUUUAUGAAACUUCUAAUAUUUUAUGAGGUGUAACUGUAAUUGGAUUACUGGGUUGAGCGUGUGUUAGAUGGUGUUAAGAGUAAUAAUAUUCUAUUAACUUGAAUUGACUUGUUCUUAUUAGUAAAUUAUAUUAGGGUAACUUUUGCAAUAAUAUUUUUAUUAAAAAUUAAAGUGUUGAGAAUAAAAUUUAAAGUAUAGUGUUUAAAUUUCAUUUGUCACUGUCAACGCUCCUCUAACUAAAGCUCAGAUGAGAUCAGAAUGCGAAAGGAUUGUUAUCGACUUCGUUAGUAUUCGUAUCCACUUAGUAUUCGUAUCUUUUGCAAUAACGUUCCACCCAUAAUGUUUUGUUCAUUGAACAAUAACACUAUGGCAGACCAAAAUGGUAUGUACUGUUUGUUUGCACGCAGUACUAUCACUUCAGUCAUAUCUUAAUGUCACUAUAGUGUUUAAAUAUCAUUUGUCUCUGUCAACGCUCCCCUAACUAAAGCUCAGAUAAGAUCAGAAUGCCAAAGGAUUGUUAUCGACUUGGUUAGUAUUCGUAUCCAUCUCUUCUCGCAUUUGCGUGAUUAAUUUUUGAAUUGGUACUAAUACGACUAAAUUGGCAUUUUGAAUGAUGAAACCAGGCUGGCCACACAAAAUUGUGUACCCUAAUUAUUGAAUUGAGCAUACAGUAGUAAAAUAGAUACAGACAGGCAUACAACAAUGACAAAAUGGACAACUAUCGCUAUCAAGUUCACGUCCCCAAUCUUGAAAUUACGAAAUUUUUGGGAUUUUUUUUUUGUUGAUCGGUCCUUGUCGUUGGUAGAAAUUACGAAAUUUAAGGGGCACCCUGACUUUUUAAAAUAAUUUACAUUUGUUUUUGUUUCAUCUUGACUAAGGACUCAUUUAAGAUUUACUAUUGAGACUCUAAAGUCACUUAUAAAAGUUAAAAUUUAAUUUUGAUAAUUUUUUUAAAUCAAAAUUUUAAUUUUGAUAAUUUUUUAACUCAAAAAUUUAAUUUUGAUAAUUUUUUUUUUAAAUCACCACAAAUUUUGAAUUUAAGAAUCAAUUUUAUACUUAACAUAAUUUCGCAUAUAUUGUUACACAUUUUCAUAAAACAAAAUUAUUUUUAAUUAGUUAACAAAUAAAAUUAGAAAAUUUAAGAUCGUUAUUAUUUUGAUUUUCUUUUUUUUUUCUUCGUGCACGCUCUUUACCCCAAUUCUUCUUCUUUCUAUUUUCCAUUCCAUCAAGAAUUCUGUAAUAAUGUAAAUAUUAUUGUUUCAAGAUCAACACUUAGGUUAAUAUGUGUUUUUAAAUAUUUAAUAAAAUUUAAGGUGAAUUAUAUACGCACAUUCCAAUCUAAAACAUGGAUUUAUUAAAGUUCGGAAAAGUUAUCAAGCCAUAUAGCUUAAUAGCUUUUUGGACUUCAAUAAUGUGUGAUAAUUAGUUAUAUGAGAAUCCUAUUACUCUAUUACUUCUUUCCCUCUGCCACUUGUACCAGAAUUUUCUAAUAGAGACUGCUUAUUGCACCUAAAUGACUAACUGGUGCUGACUUAAUAAUAUAUGCCCCGUUUGGAAUUGAGGUUGAAACUCAAUAAGCAACUUAUUUUGUAAUUUGUGACAAAAAUAAUGUUUGGUAAAUUUUGUAAAAGUUGCUUAUUUAAUCAUUUUCUCCAUUUUGACAACAACUUUUAAAAGUAAGUAGAGAGUUACUUUUCAUAAGCAGCUUAUUAAAUAAACUAUCAUACCUUUUUAAAGUUCCUAUUAUAGCCUUAAUAUUUUAAUUAAAAAAAUAAUUGUCUUACUUUCUCAUACACCAUAAUAUUAAACCAUUAGAUAUCACAUUACCACCACAAUCAAAUUACCGACACAACUAUUAUAUAUUCUCUCUAGUAUUAAAGUUUUGACCUAGUAAGUUUGUAUUUUUUUUUAUAUUUUACUUUUAUUUUCUAUUAUAAGAUUAAAAAACGUAUGUAUAUAAUUAUGCAAAUUAUUUUUUUUAACUUUGAACAAUUUCACAUGAAAAUUAACCAUAACUUUUAAAAUUAAUUUUAUAACCAUGGUUUUUAAUAUUCAAUCUCUCUCUCUCUCUCUCUCUCUCUCUCUCUCUCUCUCUCUCUCUCUCUCUCUCUCUAUAUAUAUAUAUAUAUAUAUAUAUAUAUAUAUAUAUAUAUAUUAUAGUUAUGGUGUUUAUUGCAUCAAGUUUAAUACGAAUGUAAUACAUACUACUUUUUUAUUUUAUCUUAGUUAUGUAUUAGUAUGAAUUUUAAUCAUAUUUUUUAUAUAACAAAUUUAUAGAGUUCUUUUUUCACUUUAUGCAAUUUUACUUGUUUUAAAGAGAAAAAGGCAUGUCUAAACAUUAUUAAAUAUACUUAAAAAAGAAGAAGAUAAUUUAAAGUUAUAUCUAUUUUCACAACAAGAAAACAGGUAAUAGAUGACGGGAAAUAACUAUUGUAAAAGGGAGUGCAUGACAGACAGUUCAUCUGUCAUCUAUUUCACUGUCAUUAAUUUAUGACAAAAUAUUUUCCAUCAUGAAUUCAUGAUAGUAUUUUACAGUUAUAUAUACGUCACACAAUAUCUUAAUGUGAAAAAUAAUUAAAUUAAAAUUUGAAUUUAUAUAUAUUUUUGCGCUAUUUUUUUAAAUUUUUGGUGGGAAAUUAAAUUAUCAUUUGUAAAUUUAUUAUUGAAUUUUGGCUCAAAAUGUUUUAUGACAAACAUUAUGAUCAUUAUUUCCCAUCAUAAAGUCAAUUUUUUUUAAAAAAAAUUCUAUUGUGAUUAUAAUUUAUUUGUGAAUUCCUGAUUACAAAUUUAAUUAACUAAUAAAAAUGAAUAUCAUCAAAAAAACUAAAAGUAAUUAAUAUUAAUUAACCUCCAUUCAAUCCAACAAAUUAAUUUCAAAACAAAUACAUCUAGUAUUCAAUGUCGUCACCACCAAUACAUAAUAAAACAUCCCAAAUAUAAAAAAAUCUAAAAUAUAAAACAAUAGUUAAAUCCCAAUUAAACUCUAAGAAAAGCAAUUCAAAUUCUAGCCAUCAAGCCAAGUUACCCAACAAAACUUCGAAAGAUUAAUGGAAAUAUUCUAACAGUAAGACUUCCAAUAGAGAUACCAUCUUCCAGCGGCAAUAGAUAAGAAAUUUUACUACAUAUUAAGUAUUUAACAUACAUUCAAUUUGAAUUUAAAAAAAAAAUCUUUUAUUAAUAGAUAACAACUUUUUUUAUGUAUAAAUAUUAUGCUAAAUUGUAAAAAUUAAUGUUACCAAAAUUAUUUUUCAUAAAUUAUAUAUCAAUUAUUUUUCUUGUAAAUAUUUAUAACAUAUAAAAACUAUUGUACUAGAAAACACUAUGAAUACAUAUCUAUUUAAGCUAGUCAUAAGUGUAAAAAUACAAACAACUUACCACUUACACUCAGAUGCCAAAAAAUAAAAACCAAACAUAUUAUUCUAUCUUAAGCAUUCAAAGCCAUUCAAACUUCAGUAACAUUCAAACCUAUUUCAAAUUUAAAAUAAAAAGACAAACCAUGACUUAAUAUGGGGCUAUUUGAAAUCUAGAUUUUACAGUAUCACUUUAUUCUAUACACUCGUUCUCUCAUUUAAUAAAUUUAAAAAAUUGAUUUUAUUGAGCACAUUCUUUUAAAUACCAAAAUAGUCCUCCAUUUAUAUCUUACGUCUCACCCAAUUUAAUUCUUUGUUGACUAAAGAACUUUUUUCUAUGUAAUUCUAUUAUUGUUAAUGAUAUUCAAAUCUCUUGAAAAAAAAAAAUGACCCUCAUCUCUUUGAAUGAAAUAAACUUCCGUCAAAAGAGAAAUGUCUCUUAAUUUUACCAGAGAGUUAUAGACUGGAGUCAAGUUUGUAUUUCCAAUUGAUAAUUUUGAAGCAGCAGCAAUAUGCAGCUGAUUUCUUAUUAUUUUUCCUUUUUCUUUUUGGGGUUUUGCAACGUACAGUUUUAUUUUUAAUUUUUUAAAUCAAAAUAAUGUUUCUCAUUUUUUCGCAUAAAUAAAAAUUGUUUUUCAAUUGCUGUUGUUGGUAGCAUGUUGGUUAUUUAUUAAACCCUUAAUAUUUUCUUUUACGAAUGAUAAAUUAGAUUUAUUGUUAAAGAAAGUUACAGGGUUUUGUAAUUGGAUUAUUGAAUUGAAUGUGCGUUCAAUGGUGUGAAGAGUAAUCAUAUUCCAUUAACUUAAAUUGAAUUGUCUUUAUUAGUAAAUGAUAUUGGAGGAGUUUUUGUAAUAAUAUUUUUAUUAAAAAUUACAGUCUUUAAAAUAAAAUUUAGGGUACAAACAACAUCACUCUAUAAUAUUAUUAUUCAAUAAAUCAUAAUUUUGCGGCACACUAAAAUGAUGCGGAUCAUUUACGCAACCUACCAUCACUUGUAUUAUAUCCUAAUGCCAUUAUAGUGUUCAAAUAUCAUUUGUCUAUCCCAAACGUUCGUUCAAUUAAAGCUAAGGUAAGCUAAGAUUUCACAGUAGAAUAGUAUUCUUAUCCAUGUAGUGUCACAUUGUGUGCUUUAUCUUUAGAUUGGUACUAAUCCCACAAAACUGGCAUUUUGAAAUAUAAAACCAGGCUGACCACACAAACUUGUGUACACAAUUUUUUGUUUUUUUUUUCAAGUGUUACGUCGUAAAAUCGUAAAUUAAAUAUAGACAAAUAUACAACAAUGACAAUGCCUGUCAAGUUCGCGUGCCCAAUCAUAGAAGUUACGAAACUAUUGGGAUAUUUCAUAGUUGAUCGGUCCGCAUCGUUGGUAGAAAUCACGAAUUUUAGAAGGGGACCGUGACUUUUUAAACUGCAUUAUAAUUUAAGUCCUUUAAAUUUAAAUUCAUUUUCGUUUUAUCCUGGUAAUUGAAUAAGGGCUCAUUUAAGAUUACUAUUUUACUCAAAAGUAAUUUUAAAAUAUUAAAAUUUAAUUUUGUUUGGUAAUUUUCUUAAAAUUAUUGAUAACUUUAAUUUUGAGAACAAAUUUUAUACUUAAAUAAUUUUAAAUAUAUUAUUACAUAAAACAAAAAUUAUCCUUAAUUAAUUAAGAAAUAAAAUAAAAAAAAUUCAAGACCACUAUUAUUUUUAUUCGUUUUUUUUUCUUUAUGCACGAUCUCUACCCCAAUUCUUCUUCUUUUGUUUUUAUAUUCCAUCAAUAAUUCUCCAAUACUGCAAAUAUCAUUGCUGCAAGAUCAACACUUAGGUGGCGUUUGUUUUUUUGUCUGAAAUCUGAAUAGAUCUGAAUUAGUCUGAAUGUCUGAAUAUGAAUAAUAUGUUUGUUUUUUUGUCUGAAUCUCAAAAAAUAAGUAUUAAGUUGUUUGUUUUUUUCAACUUAAAAAGCUGAAAAUAUGUACUUUUACAUUUGUAUCCUUAUUAAAUUUGAAUGUCAAAUAAAUAAUAUAUUAAAUACCACAAUAUUUUAACAUUUAUAAGUAAAACUAUAUUCAAGUGAAUACAUAAUUAUUUUAGAAUUUUAAUAUAUAAAAUACCAUAAAUUUCAAAUUUUAUCGUAUAUAAUAUAAGAAAGAAAAAACAGAGAUAUUUUUAUGUGGGGUAAAUAUCUAUGGGUGAGUUUUGGGAUAGACGUGAAAAAUAAAUUAUAAAACAAGGAUAUUUUUUACAUUAGCAAGUAAUUGACUUAAUUCAAAUUUCUCCAUUAAGUAAAAACCCAAAAAAAUUAGCUUAUUUUAUUAAGUCAAAAUUAUCUAAAAAGUCUCAUUAAGUUAUAAAAACAAACACAUCUAAUUAACUUAAUUAAUUAAGUUAAGUCACUUUAAGUCAUUAAGUUAAAAAACAAACGCCACCUUAGUAUAUGUUUCACGACUUUAUUUUUUAAUUUAUCAAUAUUCAAUAAAAUUUAUUCUCAGGUGCAGACGCCCGCAUUUUUAUUAAUGCGGCCACAAUUUUAAACUGUGUGAUUUAAAAAAAAAAUAGUUUGUGAAUGAACUAUAAAACUGUGAGUUUUAAAAGAUUUAAAAACUAAUUCUUUUAAACCCUGUGGUUUUAAAGUGUAUCCGCAUGGAAAUUUCAUAAGACUUGGUGCUAGACCCAAUUCUCCAUCUAAUUUUAGGUUGUAAAAUGUAGUGAAAGAUAACCUUUCCUUCAUUAAGUUUACAGUCACACGAUGUUCAAUAUCACGAUAAGUUCCAUUGCUAAAAAUCUACAGGAUCAUAAAUUGAACCUAAAAAAAAAAAAAGUUAGAGAGUAUAAUCAAGAGGAGGAAAAAAUUAGAUGAAACUAGUCAUCAACUACAUAUCCUAUGCUAACAGCUUAGUUUUUAUUGCAAGCGACGUGUCACCAAUUAUUUCUUAUUAUAGAUUUGCUGUUAGUAGACUUUAUUUUCUAUUAUUAAUACAAAUUAUACAAAGAUUCUACUCUACUUACCAAUAAAAGACAUGUUAGAUGUCACUUAACAUUACUAGAGAUAGAAACUAUGUAGAGACAUAGCGUUACUUAUAAUAGGCUAUAGAAAAUGACCAGUGUUACCUCUAAAACGUCACCAAUGUUGAAUAUAAAGGCAUCAGGAAGGGGUUUAACAGCAACCCAUUUUCCAUCUUUCUUAAUUUGGAGAUCAUCCAUCUCAUUGAUUUGGAGGAGGAUGGUGAGUACGGAGCCAUCAGAAUGAGGCUUAAAGCCAGGAACUUGCUCUGGUUGCGGACAAGGAGGAUAAUAAUUCAUCCUUAAUGAUUGCAUCCCGUUUUCAGACAACUCUAUCAUGUCAUUGGGAUCCAUUCUUAGAGCUUUAGCCAUUAGGUCAAGGAUUUUCAAGGUAAGAUUUUUAAGUUCCGUUAAGUAAACUUCCAAGUCAUCUCUGCAUGCAAAUAACGAUAUAUAGUCCAGUAAUUAUCAUAUGAUAGAAUAUACUAUGUAGCAAAACUCUACGAUUUAAAUAUAGAACCUGAAUGGGAGAGGCAACUUGGGGAACAAGUGGGGUUUCCUCAGAUGGGUUGGGAGAGUGAACAUAGUAAAGCCGUAUCCCCAAUCAAGCUUCUGCUCCUCAGACGUAAUAAAAAGCUGCCCAAAUCCCUCAAUAUCCCCUGGCUGCUGCCAAAAUUUCUUUUUCUCAUCAAUUGGAAGAUUAAAGAAGUCUUGAAUCCUUCUUUCACUUUCUCCACCAAUGAACUGCUCACUCCAUGAUUCAUCAACUGCAUAUAUGCAGAUUAAAACAAGCUGUUCUUUCCAUACAUGGUUCUUAUAGGAAACUUAAAGCUCAGGAAAUAAAAUGAUUUUUAUGGAAAAUGCUAAAAACACCGAGAGCCGAAAGAACGCUAACAAAAGCAAUGAUUCAAGUAUUUUUAUUAUCUGAAUAUCACUGCUCAAUUAUUAUGUACCUGAAAGAAACCCCAGUCUUUACAUGCAUGCUCAAGCUUCUCAAGCUCUGAGUCAUCCCCAGAGAGCAGCCUGUGCAUGUCAAUGACUGGAAGUUGUCGUGUUGAAGAAUCGUCGUUGCGAAUCAGGGGAUGGUCUAUCUCAGCGCGAACAUAACGUGGAGGAACUGUGAUCAGUGGCUGAUUAUUUGCCAGCUCCAGAAUCGAAGGCUCCACCAGAGAACUCCCAAUAACUGUUGCUUUGGUCCCCAUAUUAUAUAGAUUUAGAUUAACUGAUUUCUAGCUAUUACCUUUUUGUUUCUUUUCUCUGCUGUAGACUCAGCUGGUCUGUGUUUUAACGAGAAAUUCAUGUAUAAAUAAUCCUCAGGAUGUACUGUACUGUAAUUGUGUGCUUUAAAAUAUCAAUUUUAAUAUGAAAAUUCGAGAGAAUUUUGACUUUUA
rnacentral:lncRNA from 1 species